AACGAACGCUGGCGGCGUGGAUAAGACAUGCAAGUCGAACGGAAUACUAUGAGUAGCAAUACAAGUGGUGUUUAGUGGCGAACGGGUGCGUAACACGUGGAUACAUUCCGGAAAGCGGGGGAUAGCCCAGGGAAACUUGGAUUAAUACCGCAUGUGGUCGAGAGACUAAAGACGGGGAUCGAAAGACCUGUCACUUUCCGAUUGGUACGCUGCCUAUCAGCUAGUUGGCGGGGUAAAAGCCCACCAAGGCUACGACGGGUAGAUGGUCUUAGAGGACGACCAGCCACACUGGAACUUAGACACGGUCCAGACACCUACGGGUGGCAGCAGUCGAGAAUCUUUCACAAUGGGGGCAACCCUGAUGGAGCGACGCCGCGUGGAGGAUAAGGUCUUCGGAUUGUAAACUCCUGUCAUGCGUGAACAAGGUUGCUUGGUUAAUACCUGGGCAAAUUGAUGGUAACGCAAGAGGAAGAGACGGCUAACUCUGUGCCAGCCGCCGCCGUAAGAC
rnacentral:rRNA from 1 species